rnacentral:rRNA from 1 species
UACGGAGGGUGCGAGCGUUGUCCGGAAUCACUGGGCGUAAAGGGCGCGUAGGCGGCUUGUCACGCGUGCGGUGAAAGUCCGGGCUCAACCCUGGAUCGGCCGUGCGGACGGGCAGGCUUGGAGCACAGUAGAGGCGGGUGGAAUUCCGGGUGUAGCGGUGGAAUGCGUAGAGAUCCGGAAGAACACCAGUGGCGAAGGCGGCC